ensembl:lncRNA LINC00640 long intergenic non-protein coding RNA 640
GGCCAUUCUACAGUCUGCCCAGAGCUGCAGCGUAAAGAGGCAUUAGACGGUACAUAUUGUUGAUUUCCAGGAAGUUACACUGCCCUACUUUAAGGUGAUGCUCAUUAGUCUGCAAACCUGGAUGCUGAAGAAAUCCAUGUCAUAGAAGGACAGAAGUCUUGUAUCCUGUGCCAACUCUCAUUGUUUGGUGGUGAUUGCCUGGAGUGCUGGGGCUAGUCUGGGUUCUGCAGGAAAAAAGGGUCUUGCUGUGUCCCUAGGCUGGAGUGCAGUGGUGCAGUCUCAAUUAUGCCAGAUGGCUCUGAGGUCCAAGUAAAAGAUAAUAUUUGCAACCAACUCACUGGAGUUGACCAUCAAAACUCUUUUCCAGGCACACUCAGGCAUCGCAGAAAAUAAUAUGUAUUGUGGAAUCCCUCACUUGAUGAAUAAUCUAGAUGAUCAGAAAUGUGGCACUAUUUUGGCUUUCAGGUGGAAAAGCACCCUGAAUCCAGCUUCCUGCUAUGAAUGAAUACUGAGCUUGGGUUGGUGGAAAUUGAUUUUCGAGAUAAAGAAUCCAGCCAGGACUGUGAAGCCCCAGGGAAUGGCUGCACUUCAAGUCAGAAGGAGCCUGGGUCCCUGAAUCAUCAUGUGGAAGGCUCUCCACCCAGUUCAAUGGUGCAAUGGACCACAAGCAGGAACUUAAUUUAGAAUGUGCUUAUUUUGUUAGAUUUUGUAAUUAAAAAAUGGAUCCCACUCUGA